rnacentral:lncRNA from 1 species
AGGGUGGAUCCGCUUUGUAUUCGACUUCUGGAGGGAAAAAGCUUAGCGGGGCGGGAGUGUAGACGGGAAUGUGCAACAGAUCCAGGAUCAAUAGGAUUGAGCCUCCAGGAUGUGACUGGUGUUCUUGUAAGAAGAGAAGAGUUACACAGGCACACGGGGAAAGUCCAUAUGAAGAUGGAGGCGGAGUCUGCAAACCAAGAAAACCCGGGGAUUGUGAGCGAGGAUGAGAAACAAAGAAGAGGCGUGAAACAGAUUCUCCCUCAGAGCCUCCAAAAAGGAACCAACUCCUAGUCUCCAAAAACUGAGGAGAGAAUAAGUGUCUCUUGUUUUAAGCUAUCCAGUUUGUGGCAAUUUGUUUCAGCAGCCCUGGGAAAAUACAGAGGGCCUUAUGCAGACCUGGGAUGGCCUGUACAGUGCUUCAACACACAAGGAACUCGAAUCAUUUAUGAUCGAAAGUUUCUGUUGGAUCGUCGCAACUCUCCCAUGGCUCAGACCCCACCCUGCCAUCUGCCCAACAUCCCAGGAGUCACCAGCCCUGGCACCUUAAUUGAAGACUCCAAAGUAGAAGUAAACAAUUUGAACAACUUGAACAAUCAUGACAGGAAGCAUGCAGUUGGGGAUGAUGCUCAGUUUGAGAUGGACAUCUGACUGUCCUACGAGGAUCAGAAGAAAAGCAGUAACACCGAUAGCUGUGUGUACAUGAUUUGGCGGAUGGGAUCAACAAUGCAGAGAUGGAAGAGGCAGUACCAGCAGUCCCCGUUGCAGUCUCCACCUCCUCCUGGUGCCAAAGGAUGCGAAGAUAAGCCGCAUCCAGCCAUUUCUUAUCCCUGUUUCCUGUUCCCCUUCUCACUUAGACAGUUAGAUUGAAGGCCCUUGUCAUAUUUCUGUAGAACUAAGCAGCCCACAGAGGAAAACGGUUAAACUCUGGUUCUCUCCCCUGCCCCCAUUUUUUAAAAAAUCCCCAAUCAAAUAUCAACCUACCAAUAACUGGCUGGCUGGGAAGUCUGGGGACGUGAUAGGGAGGUUGGAUGGGUUCCGCAGCAUUCGUAUUCUUACCCUCUCUGUCUCUCCUUGUCUUGCUCAUGGUUCACUGCUGCAGGAGUCUGAGUUUGGGGUCCUGAAAACCAUUAGAGGGAAAUGGUAAACAGGAAGAGAGCUGCUUUCCCUUUUCCCUUGAAGUGUUUGUCCUUGGGGACAGAGCACUGUUCGUACAACUCUAGUAGCAUUACUCUGUGGCACUGUUUUGAGGUCCACUUCCCCUCCUUCCUCUGGGAGGAAUGUCUUCAGUCUUUAGUAUUAUAAUUCAUCUUCCCAUUCCUUUACUUAGCAUGUUUGUGCAAACAUUUCUUAACUGUGCAUCAGAAGGGAGUCCUCAGUCACCAGCUCUUCCUUCCUCCCCUUCUCCCAUUCUUCCCUGCUUUGUAUCUUGUUGCUUGCAAGUCCUUUUGUAUGCUGAGCUAUCCAGCUGGUUUCACCUGCUCCUAAAGCAGGUCCCUACCACGUGACAAGGUGCUUUGGAUGAGGCCCGGAUCGUAGUAUUCUGCAGGAUGCUACCCUGCAGGGUGAUGACCUUGGAAGAUGUCGCACUGUUUGAGUGCACUCAAACAGUCCAGUGAGCAUUGUGAUAGUUGUUCUCUCUGAUUGCAGUUUCUUAUAUUUUGAACUUAAAGUUGACUUUCAGAGUGUUUGUAGAACAGAGCUAGACUUUUUUCCUUUGUGGACCUGCUUUGUUUGGCUGCUGGGAUAGAUAAGCAUGGGUUAAAAAUGUGUUCUUCCCAAUUUUCCAGCCUUUCCCAUGGUACUCUGAAUUCCUUCCCCCUCCCUCCCUCCCUUUCUCUUUCCCCUUUCUCUGCAAGGCCAUUUUUCAGAUGUACAUCCAGGAUACCUCAAGUGUUGGUAUCUGAUAAUAUCUGGCCCUCCUCUUAUCUGAGGAGUGACCUUUUAUUUUUAAGAUGAGUACAGACCUAUUUUUAGAUAUGUUUUCAGUACAAUUUUGAACAGCAACUUUUUACUUAUACAUCUUCCAGUGUUGGGAAGGUGAGAAAUGUCCUUAGGCGAGUCUGCUGUUCCAUGUCACCUACCUUUGUCUCCCCAGUCCCUUAUGAGCUCUUUUCUUCUCCCUCAAGUUUUGGGUGUGCAUGUUUGGAGUUUGUAGUGGGUGGUUUGUGAAACUGGACCGUUCUGCCUUCCCUGGGUUGUUCACAGAAGCCUCGUUCUUUUACCCUUUGCUGCUUCCUUCCCCACUAAGAGGUCCUGACUGUUGACUGGCACUGUAAUCCCGGGAGAGUGACUCCCCUUAUAGAAAUAUAAGUAAAAUAGCCACUGGUAUCCUGGGAAUUCCUGGUUGUAUUUGGUGCCCUGAACCCUCUUAUUAAGAGAUCAGAUCCCGGGGUAAGAGUAACAGGCCAGUUGGCUAAUAAAGAAAGCUGUUUGGUUUUCUUUUGAGCUACGAAAAGACCCUGUUUGCAAAUACAUUUUUGCAAAUACAUUCUGCAAAUACAGAAGAGAGGAAGGAUAUCCAAGGAACUUUGUUCUGUUUUCUGCUACAAAAUGUGAAUAGUUCAAAGAGUGAAACCUUUUGUGAUGGUUGAUGUCUCUCAGGAAUAAGCUGGAUCUCCAGUUUUGGAGAUGCUUUCAAUCUCAAAAAUUGAUGAUCAGAAAAGUAUUUUUUGUUUGUUUGUUUAAUGUAUCUCUGUUCUGAUUUUAAUUAAACUACAAAUUUCAUUUUACAUAUUCUUGGGAAAACCUAAGGUGCAUUGGGAGCUUGAUUCUUCAGGAAUGAAGCUUUCAUUCUUCUCAAACCCCAACCUUGGCACCCUGUGGAAUAUUACCCAGCUACAGCAAGUAGUUGGUCUGUCAGUGAGUGGAAGUGUUUCCCUGGCUUGGUAUUAAUUGGUGUGAAAAUUCGUCUGGCUCACUGAGCAACAGGGAAUGAAUUGGAAGACCUGCUGACUUGAGUAGGCUCCAGAUGCCAUUUUCUCCUUUUUUGCUAUCCUAAGGAAUCUCUGCACAUGGCCCCCUAAUCAGAGGCCACACUUGUAGUAUUUUGGGGGAGCAUCAUCUAUGUCAUAUAGCAGCUGCCAAACCCCUUAGCUGUCUCAGUAAGGACCCUCUUUACUGCUCGGGGCAAUUAAUUGUUCCCCAGAGGCCAUUACUCUGGAGAUUGUUCGGCCUCCGAAAUCUGUGUUUUUUGGGGUUUGUUUGUUUAAAGGCUGCACCUGCGGCAUAUGGAGGUUCCUACACUAGGGGUCGAAUCGGAGCUACAGCUGCCUGCCUGUGCCAGAGCCACAGCAGUGCCAGGUCCUCAGCCCCCUGAGUGAGGCCAGGGAUCAAACCCACAGCCUCAAGGUUCCUAGUUGAAUUCGUUUCUGCUGCACCAUGACAGGAUCUCCCAAAAAUCUAUGUUUUAAAGAUAAUCUCACAAGGCAAUAGGUAACACCUGAAAAUUCGGCCUCAUAGAUUCAUUUUCAGGGCAAGCCAGAAUCCAGUAGGUGGUUUAUUCCUGGAUGUUUGAGAGGAUCUCACAGUUGAAACCCUAAAUGAACGGUAUACCUGGGCUUUUUCCUGGAGCAGGAACGCCCUUAAGAUAUCAUUUGUGUGAGACAAUUCUUAAAAUUGUAGUGAUUAUUUGUACUUUUCUUUUUAUGAGAAAACCAUGUUUCCGUACUUCUGGGAUAAUCCAUCUGAAUGCGAAAGGACCUUCUCCCUCCAAAUUCCAGCAGGAGACAUGCAUUGUCAUGAUUCUGCCUCCUUCAUAGGGUGAUGUAUUGAGUUCACCAUUUCCCUGUAUUCUGUUUAAAUAGCUGUAGUGUUCUCAAGAGCACCUUGUAGAGAAGCUGGCUUCUAGCUGUUAGGCUUCCAAGCCGAGUUUUAUCUUUUCACCUGUGUAAGUUAUCUAUUGCUAUUUAAUAGAUUACCCCCAAUUAAAAAUCUUAAAAGAGCAAGCAUUAUCAGUCAGUUUCUGUGGUUAGGAGCUGGGAAACAGCCUAGCCUGGUGGUUCUGACACAAAGUCAUAGGAAGUUGUAGUCAAGAGUCCUCAGGGCCUGCAGUCACCUAGGGCUUAAGAAUCCACUUCUGAGCUCUCUGACAGUCUCUGAAAGCACACGCCAGCACUCCUUCCUCAUCCUGUCCCUUAACAACAAGCCACUACGCCCAUCCUGCACUCGGGGAGGGGACUACCCCUGCCCUGAUGAAUGGAGCAGGACCAAAGCAUUUGUGGUAGUACCUUAAAACGCCUCACCUCCAACAGAGGGCGAACCCAGGUCAGGAGGGGGUAGCUUUAAAUUAGAUGACGUACUGAGAGAGGUACUGUUACUGAAGACAGUUCUCUAAGACAUGAGUUGAAAAACAUAAAAAACAGACUCUCUCCUCACGGCCACCUGCCAGUUAUGAGGGGGUGGCAAGAAAUGGCAAUCCCCAGGAGAAUAUAUCUAUACGUUUGCCUGAUGUAUACUACCAGCAACCCAAGGAUGCAUUGCAAGUCCUUGUUCUGGUAUCUCUAAGACUCGGUACCACUUCCUUACUGUCCCCUCAGCCAGGUGUUGACAGAGGGAAUUGGAUUCUUCUAAUUGAGCCACUCCAGUGGACUUCACUGGAGUUAGGGUUGUUAAGCAAAGGGAGCAAACAUGAAUUAGCUCUAGGGUUAUUGGGCUAAAGAAAAGCUAACUGUUCAGAUUCAGGGUGAUGGGGCUCACAGCAUCUGAAAGCCAGGUCCCCAUGAGAGUCAAUCCUUGGCAUCUGCUCUCGAAAACCACACUGGUUGAAGCAGACUUGGGUUGGGUCUCUCACCCGAGAAGCCACUUCUUUCUUAAUAAGAAUGGAACAUCUGGGAAGUAGAAUGUCUGCUUGAUUCUUUAACUCCAGUGUGCAGCUUAACUCUUCAUGCCCUCCUCAUCCUGGCCUUCGUGAUGGAAAUGGGUUCUUAAAGAGCACCAGUCCUGUCUUCACGCUCAAGGGAAACUCAGAUGAGGCUCGUCAGUUCAACACAUUCUUAGUGAAUGUCUGCUGUUUCUGGCACCCACGCCCAACCAAGUUUAUUAAGUUUCCAGACAUCUUAAGAAUGCAAAUUCUUGUUUGGAUUUAUGUUCCGCCUCUUCCCCACAUUUUCUUAUCUAUAGCCCUGCUUUCUUUAAAGAGUAUACUUGAAUGAGAAAGCAUUGCUGCUGAGGCAGCUAUUUUUAAAAAGGUACUUCUUCCAGGAGUAAGGAACUUAUCUUUAAAGCACCUUCAAAUGAAAUUUUUCCUUCCGAUAUUGAGAUGGAGUCAAAAUAAAUGGUCUUUGUUUAUGCUGUUUGAGUUACCAGCUCUUUGGGUCUCUCAGACUUCACUCCCCAGUUCAGAUAGUUCCUGCUAGAGGUGUAGGCUCCACUCAGAGGCCAUUGCACAGCCAGUACACGUUGACUGCCUGCUUGGAUCAAGACACCUCAUGUAAGGUGCUCAUAAAGUGCUCAUCGUGUUGGCAGCAGUAUCCCAGAAACAAUUUUUCCCUCCUCCUCACCUUGGAGGUGUGAUGAGGUGUCAAGUGUCUUGGCUGCUUGAAGCUAGGGGCCCUCAGCCCUCUGCACUCCCUUCUAGACAGGAGGCCCAUUGCUUUGCUCUCUGGGUCAGAAUUUCCCCUUCUCGGCAUGUUUCUGGACCACAUGCCUGUGGACAGCUAUUUAUUAACCGCGAAACCCAAUCUCUUACCAACCCAUGACGUCUGGUGGGGGAUAGUAUUUGUUUUAAAGAAGCAUUGUUUCUUUGGGGAGGGGGCAAACUUCUGUCUGGACUUUGAAGGGGACAUAGUUACCAUUCAUUACCACCUACCCCCCAACAACUCUUUUCUUUACCUCUCAGCUUUUAAUAAAAGAUGACAUCAGAUCUUGAGGCAAUUGGGUCACAAUAUUUUAGAAUGCUUAUUCCCCAGGGCAUUUUCUGUUCUAGUCAUAUUUUUCCAGUCGAGUAAUAGAGUUUCUGAGACUAGCUCACCGACGGCGAGGCUAGGGUGAUUGAUACAGUCAUUCGUGUCACCUUUCCCACCCCCCGGAAUUAAUGUUUCUCUCUCUGGACUGGUCUUGGAAGUUGAUACCUUUUGGCAAAGCUUAGCUUUAGGAGAAGUCUUUCAAGCCCUGUUCAGUCGAUCUGUGGUUUCUCCUUGCUUCCUCUGCCAGCAGCCCUGGCCAGCCACACUGUGUGGAUCCCAAGUGGAAAACAGCAGAGAUGAAACACAUUCCUGGGGUAUUUAAACUCUCACUCUGCCACCUUUCCAAGAGUGGGAGGCUGGCAGGGAGAUGCUGCAAUGCUUGAUAAUCAUUUGGCCACAUUGAAAUUUCCAAAGGGAGCUUUUGCUGGUGCUUAAAACCAAAAUUCCUGGACAUGUAAGAUUGAAUGAAUCUAGCACAAAAUAUCCAUUCUUGCCCCAGUGUACCCCCUUCCUCUCUGUCUUAAGCUUAAAAAAAAAAGAAAAAGAAAAAGAAAAAGCCCAGGCCAAGGGUAAUUUUUACUUGAAACCAGGAGAGUGGGGGAGGAACACUAGAGAUGAGGGGCGAGCUGUGCAGGGAGUCAUCCUGCUCCUGGUGUCUGUUCCAGUCACUGAGGACUGUCAGCCAGUGCCUUUCCUUCGCCUGGAGAUGGAGCCCAUCUCUUUCCACUGGGUGAGGAGACCCUUUCUAACCAGGGGUGACCCUUAAAGAGGGUGUCUGGGAGAGCCCAGAGGACACUCACAUAUUUGGGUGUCUAUUUUAAGCAUCCUUAAAAUAUUUUAUAUAUUAAAAAAAACAAAAAACAAAAAAAA